UUUGUGACUUGUUUCUGUGCCUAUGUGGUCUCGAUUGGAAUUACUGGUGCUGCUGAUGCUGCAGCCUGGAUUCUCUGGUCUCAGAGACCAAAUGACCCAAAACCUCUGUGAUUCUCCUGCAAAUAAUCCAUCUCCAGGAGUCAGGAGCAGGACUGGUGAGCAUCUCAGCUGUAAUGAUAGAGCUCAAGGAGCGUGUUUCUCCUCACAUCACAAGGACUAAGCCAAGCCCCAAAUCCUUGGGAGCUCUUGAGGAAUGUCCGAGCAUCUGUGAGGAGCAGCUGUGAGGGAGUGUGAGA